UACGUAGGUGGCAAGCGUUGUCCGGAUUUACUGGGCGUAAAGAGCGCGCAGGCGGCUGGUCAAGUCCGAUGUGAAAUCUCCCGGCUCAACUGGGAAACUGCAUCGGAAACUGAUCGGCUUGAAGGUGGGAGAGGGUAGUGGAAUUCCCGGUGUAGCGGUGAAAUGUGUAGAUAUCCGGAGGAACACCAGAGGUGCAGACGGCGCCCUGGGCCCGACCUGACGCUGAGACGCGAAAGCUUGGGGAGCGAACGGG
rnacentral:rRNA from 1 species